rnacentral:misc_RNA from 1 species
AAAAGCUUCUGUAGAAGCUGAGUUGAAGAAGAUUGAGGAAAGUUUGGAGAAGAAGAAAGCUGAGUACAUUGAGAAAAUGAAGAACAAAAUUGCUCUGCUUCACAAAGCAGCAGAGGAGAAGAGGGCGAUAAUCGAAGCCAAGCGCGGAGAAGAUCUUCUCAAGGCGGAGGAGACGGCUGCAAAGUACCGUGCCACUGGUACCGCCCCAAAGAAGCUUCUCGGCUGCUUCUCAAGUUGAAUAUCUUGUGUCUGAUCACUGAUUAUUGUGUAUUGAAAAAAACAAAUCUUCAUCAGUUCAUCUCAUUUGGCUGCUAAUUAGAUGUGUUGUGUGUGUGAUGGAAGGAAAUAUGUAUCAAUGGUUGUGUGUGUGUAUGUUGUUUGUCUGUAAGGUGUUUGACAAAAUGCCGCUUACAAAUACUUGAGAAAUAAAA